UACGUAGGGGGCAAGCGUUGUCCGGAUUUAUUGGGCGUAAAGAGCUUGUAGGCGGUUUGUCGCGUCUGCUGUGAAAUUUCGGGGCUCAACCCCGAACUUGCAGUGGGUACGGGCAGACUAGAGUGUGGUAGGGGAGACUGGAAUUCCUGGUGUAGCGGUGAAAUGCGCAGAUAUCAGGAAGAACACCAACGGCGAAGGCAGCUCGCUGGGACGGAACUGACGCUAAGGCGCGAAAGCGUGGGGAGCGAACAGG
rnacentral:rRNA from 1 species